GGUUCUGUGGUUAGCAUUUUUGACUCUGAAUCUAAGCAUCCGAGUUCAAGUCUCGGCAGAACCU